rnacentral:lncRNA from 1 species
CACCGUCCGAGAGCGAAGAGGCAAACUCACUGUCCGACAGUCUAUCCACCCUGACCACAGACGACGCCACCUCAAAUGCUCCACCUGCAGAAAACGGGAACGGCGCCACCCCAGAUGCUCCACCUGCAGAAAACGGGAACGACGCCACCCCAGAUGCUCAACCUGCAGAAAACGGGAACGCCGCCACCCCAGAUGCCCCACCUGCAGAAAAUGGGAACGAUGCCACAUGAUCCUGAUGGUUAUAUGUUCGUCCGUAGCGCUGUCCAUCAUUAGCUUCAUAUACAAGGGUUGGUACCCAAAGUUGCUGCUGCUACCAGAAGUGAAAUUUUCUCCUGCUUUUCAGGUACUAGCAUAAUAGGUACACACCAUCAUACAGAUAGAUCGUAGCCACCGUUUGUUCAUUAAAUUAAAUUUUGCUGAAUACUAGUAAGUACUAUACGGCGG